rnacentral:rRNA from 1 species
GAUGAACGCUGGCGGCGUGCCUAAUACAUGCAAGUCGAGCGAACGGACGAGAAGCUUGCUUCUCUGAUGUUAGCGGCGGACGGGUGAGUAACACGUGGAUAACCUACCUAUAAGACUGGGAUAACUUCGGGAAACCGGAGCUAAUACCGGAUAAUAUUUUGAACCGCAUGGUUCAAAAGUGAAAGACGGUCUUGCUGUCACUUAUAGAUGGAUCCGCGCUGCAUUAGCUAGUUGGUAAGGUAACGGCUUACCAAGGCAACGAUGCAUAGCCGACCUGAGAGGGUGAUCGGCCACACUGGAACUGAGACACGGUCCAGACUCCUACGGGAGGCAGCAGUAGGGAAUCUUCCGCAAUGGGCGAAAGCCUGGCGGAGCAACGCCGCGUGAGUGAUGAAGGUCUUCGGAUCGUAAAACUCUGUUAUUAGGGAAGAACAUAUGUGUAAGUAACUAUGCACAUCUUGACGGUACCUAAUCAGAAAGCCACGGCUAACUACGUG